rnacentral:rRNA from 1 species
UCGCCUGUUUAACAAAAACAUGUCCUUUUGUAUUUAAUUUAAGGUCUGACCUGCCCAGUGAUUUAUUUAACGGCCGCGGUAUACUGACCGUGCAAAGGUAGCAUAAUCAUUAGUCUUUUAAUAGAGGGCUGGAAUGAAAGGUUUAACGAGGAAUUAGCUGUCUCAUUUUAUUUGUUUUAAAAUUUAAUUUUUUAGUUAAAAAGCUAAAAUAAUAUUGGUAGACGAGAAGACCCUAUAGAUCUUUAUACAUAUUCAUUUAAUUAUUUUUAUAUUAAUGUUUUUAUUUGAUAUUGUAUUUUGUUGGGGUGACAAAAAUAUAAAAACAACUUUUUUAUUUUCAUAACAUUGAUAUAUGAUUAUUUGAUCCAUUCUUAUUGAUUAUUAGAUUAAGUUACCUUAGGGAUAACAGCGUAAUCCCCUUCCAGAGUUCAUAUUUACAAGGGGGCUUGCGACCUCGAUGUUGGAUUAAGAUAAUAGUUAGGUGUAGCCGCUUAAUAUAUAGGUCUGUUCGACCUUUAAAAUCUUACAUGAUCUGAGUUCAGACCGGUUUAAGCCAGGUCGGUUUCUA